rnacentral:rRNA from 1 species
CCUACGGGAGGCAGCAGUGAGGAAUAUUUGUCAAUGGACGAGAGUCUGAACCAGCCAAGUAGCGUGAAGGAUGACUGCCCUAUGGGUUGUAAACUUCUUUUAUAAAGGAAUAAAACGAGGCACGUGUGCCUUUUUGCAUGUACUUUAUGAAUAAGGAUCGGCUAACUCCGUGCCAGCAGCCGCGGUAAUACGGAGGAUCCGAGCGUUAUCCGGAUUUAUUUGGUUUAAAGGGAGCGUAGAUGGGUUGUUAAGUCAGUUGUGAAAGUUUGCGGCUCAACCGUAAAAUUGCAAUUGAUACUGGCAGUCUUGAGUACAGUUGAGGUAAGCGGAAUUCGUGGUGUAGCGGUGAAAUGCUUAGAUAUCACGAAGAACCCCGAUUGCGAAGGCAGCUUACUAAACUGUGACUGACAUUGAUGCUCGAAAGUGUGGGUAUCAAACAGGAUUAGAUACCCUUGUAGUC